GCUCCCUUAGCUCAGUUGGUUUAGAGCAUGGUGCUUAUAACGCCAGGGUCGUGGGUUCAACCCCCACAGGGAGCA
rnacentral:tRNA from 1 species